UUACGGGAGGCAGCAGUGGGGAAUAUUGGACAAUGGGCGCAAGCCUGAUCCAGCAAUGCCGCGUGAGUGAUGAAGGCCUUAGGGUUGUAAAGCUCUUUCACACGCGACGAUGAUGACGGUAGCGUGAGAAGAAGCCCCGGCUAACUCCGUGCCAGCAGCCGCGGUAAUACGGAGGGGGCAAGCGUUGUUCGGAAUUACUGGGCGUAAAGGGCGCGCAGGCGGCUGCUCAAGUCAGGCGUGAAAGGCCUGGGCUCAACCCGGGAAUUGCGCUUGAGACUGGGCUGGCUUGAGUGCGGGAGAGGAUGGUGGAAUUCCCAGUGUAGAGGUGAAAUUCGUAGAUAUUGGGAAGAACACCGGUGGCGAAGGCGGCCAUCUGGACCGCAACUGACGCUGAGGCGCGAAAGCGUGGGGAGCAAACAGGAUUAGAUACCCCGGUAGC
rnacentral:rRNA from 1 species